GGGAAAGUAGCUCAGUUGGCUAGAGCGCACGAUUCACAUUCGUGAGGUCACAGGUUCGAGCCCUGUAUUUCCCACCA
rnacentral:tRNA from 1 species